rnacentral:tRNA from 1 species
CCCCGCCUAGCUCAACGGUAGAGCGUUCGGCUGUAGACCGAAAGGUUCCUGGUUCGAGUCCGGGGGCGGGGA